AAGCCACUGUCAUAAAAGUGGAUCUUCAAGCGGAUAUGGAAAACUUAGUGGUAAUUUUUUUCUGGAAUUAGAAAAAAAAGUAAAUAAAAUAUUCUAUUAGGACUAUUUGGUUUUAUUGUUUAGUUGUUGUAAUCUCUUGCACAAUGAACAGAAUUUGACAGUCACAAAUCUAAGAACUGCUGCAACUACAACGACCCUGCUCCUUCGGCCAUAGCAAAUGAUGAUAGACAGGCAAAUGGUGCAGAUUGUUCACAGGAUGUAAAUUAUGCUAAUGUAGUAAAUUGUUCUCAAUCUACAAAAGUUGCGAAGAGGGCCUGUGAAGCCUCUUUAUCCUCAUUGAAGUCAAAGAGGGUGAAGGGAAGCCAGUUAGUUGACUGCCGAUCAGAUUGUAGCUGGGGUCUUAUCCAAGAGGCUGAUGAUAGGGUCAAUCCUUGUUUUGUGGAAGCCCCUCAUGGUGAUUGUUUGAUUACAAAAAAGUCUAAAAAUUGUAUUGGAGACCUUUUGCAUUUAGAAGCUCCUGCCAACUCAGAACUGCCGUCAACUAAACAAUACUUUAGAAUGAUGUUGAUGAAUAAAUAUCACUGAUGAUGCUAAGAAAACACAGCUUGCAAAGGUGAUUGAAGACCUUGGUGGAACUAUUGCCUCUGAUGGAAGCACGACAACACAUGUUGUCACAGGAAAAAUGAGAAAAACUCUGAAUUUCUACCCUUUGUUCAGGUGCUUGGGCGGUCUCAUCAAGUUGGUUAAAAGAAAGCUUUCGUCAAGGCAGAUUUGUUGAUGAAUUGCCUCACAUACUGAAUGAUGAGGAUUAUUUGUUGAAGUACAAAAUCGGAUUUAAGAAGUGCAGUUUUCUGAGCAAAAGCUUCUCCCCAUGCUUUGUUUAAGGGGUAUAAUAUAUGUAUUGCAGCUAAUGUUCAAACUCCUGCAGAAACUCUGUCAGCCAUUGUUAGGUCUGCUGGUGGUAAUGCAAGUUCUAUGGCUUAAAAAUCCGUAGUCCACUUACAUAUCAAUUUAUUAUUUUUGCAUUACUCAUUCAAUUUCCUUUAUGCUAAGCAUGUACUUUGUUUUGGUUUGUGCUCUAAGCUGUUACAAUUGGAGAAAUAUUCAUAUGAUGAAUCAUUUAUGAUUCAUUUUGGGUGCAGUCAUUUUCUCCAGAAGUGACUUGCAUGUGCAUGUCCUAUAGUAUGUGCAUUUAAUGAUACAUCUUACUCACUUCACUGUAACACAUCUAUGCACAAUUUGGUUUCCUUUUCCCUUUGAGGAACUGAACGCCGUUUUUGACAAAUUCUGUUAAUUCUUGUAUUAGGUUAUUAGUGGACUCGAAAAAAUAAAUGAAACAUCAACAACAAUCUUUGUGACAUGUGAAGAAGAUAUAGAAGAAGCAAUGAUGGCUUCAAAGAAAGGUAUAAAG